GACGAACGCUGGCGGCGUGCUUAACACAUGCAAGUCGAACGGAAAGGCCCUGCUUUUGUGGGGUGCUCGAGUGGCGAACGGGUGAGUAACACGUGAGUAACCUGCCCUUGACUUUGGGAUAACUUCAGGAAACUGGGGCUAAUACCGGAUAGGAGCUCCUGCUGCAUGGUGGGGGUUGGAAAGUUUCGGCGGUUGGGGAUGGACUCGCGGCUUAUCAGCUUGUUGGUGGGGUAGUGGCUUACCAAGGCUUUGACGGGUAGCCGGCCUGGGAGGGUGACCGGCCACAUUGGGACUGAGAUACGGCCCAGACUCCUACGGGAGGCAGCAGUGGGGAAUAUUGCACAAUGGGCGGAAGCCUGAUGCAGAAACGCCGCGUGCGGGAUGACGGGCUUCGGGUUGUAAACCGCUUUCGCCUGUGACGAAGCGUGAGUGACGGUAAUGGGUAAAGAAGCACCGGCUAACUACGUG
rnacentral:rRNA from 1 species